CGGAACAAAGCCGUCCACGAAAGCUUCGCGGGCUUCAGCCGGUUGUGGAAGUACCGCUUGCACUUGCUAUUCAGGAACAGGAACACCUGACUGUCGCUGCGGAUGAACCUGAUGCCCCGGCCGGGGUAGAUCUUGGCGCCGGAGAACCUGCAGACCUCGGUCUUGAGCACCAUGGUGGCCGACUUCGCACUGCCAGACGACGACGCUGCUGCUGGCGUUGUAGUGGACGGAGCACACGGCGAGCGAGAGAGGGCUAUCCCGAGGCCACCCGAGCAGUUCAAGACAGAGCAACAAGUGCACAGUCCCCGAAACCCUAAUUCCUGCGCUUGCUCCCCUGCUUCUGUUCCCAACCAUGUUCACCACAAUGUUCCUGAAAGCAUGAGGGAGGGGAAUUGUUGCUACACUUUGUUCAAUGUUUCACCAAACUCACGAAAUCGUUACAAUGGUUAUUUGUAAAAGAUAGGUAUUAAUCUAUAAUAUAAUUUAAAUAAAUCAAUGGCAUUUUUUUUUUUUUAAAUUAUGGCAUUACAAUGUACAAAAUCUUCUUGGCUUUAUGGUGACAUUGGUCCUUGCAUUGCAUCCAAAAUAUAAAGAGGUGUAAUUUUGUAUACUCAUCAAAAUAACAAAACAAGAUAACUAUGUAAAAACCAACAUCACCAAUGUGACGGUUCAAAGAAAUGUCCAAUUUUUAAUUAUCUUGAAUAUAUAUAUAUAUAUAUAUAUAUAUAUUUCACUAAUCUCUUUGAAAUGUAUUUCAAAUAAUAAAAAAUUAAAAUAAAAUUUAUAGCUAUUCUAGUUAAAUUAUAUUUAUUAAAUUUAAAAUUAUAAUUAUAAUUUUAUUUUAGAAAAUAUUAACUUAAAUUAAAAUGAAAAUUUAUUUUUUAUUUUAUCAGGUUUUGAUAGAUUUUAUUUCUUUAUAUUCAAAAUAUGUAUUAUUAAAAUUUCAAAGCAAAAAGUAUAUUAUUCUCAAAAAAUAUUAAAUAAAAAGAAAUAAUAAUUUUAUAAUAUUAUUAUUAAUAUUAAGAUGUUAAUUUUAAUCAAAAAAAUUCAACCUACUUAAUAUUUAAAAUCAAAACAAGACAAUAAGAUAGGACUAAUGUAAAAGAAAUUAAAAUAAAACUUCUACAAUAAACUUGUAAAGUUGGAAAAAAAAAAUAGUUUAUUUGACAAUCUUUGAGAUUGUAUUGUCUAUUAUCAAAAAUAAAUUAAUCAAUUAUCUUAUUCAUAUAUUAUAGGGAUUAAAAUAUAUUACCAAAAUAAAUAUCUUGACUAUCAUUUGUAUUAUUAAUAGAUUCAAAAAUCAAAGAUAAUUUAAACAAUAAAAUAGAAUGAGAUAAAAAUAAAAUAAAUAAUUUUUAUGACAAAUUUUGGUUGCAUAAAUAAAAUUUAUCAUACACAAUAAAUCAAGUACAAGAGAUCAACAUGAAGUAUGUAAUCUAAACCAAAUACAAAUACAUAAGCAACAAACUUUCAAGGAAAGAUAGAAGAUUUAAACACCACCAAGUCGAGCUAUCUUUCAUACUACAAAGAAGGAAUUUAAGAAUACAAGUUUGUUUAUAAAAAUUCUGAAAAAUUUAGUAAAAGAUUAAUAACUAUAGCCAAGCAAAAUCUAAUGACAAAAGCUUUAUUUCCCUCAAAAUCACUCACAAGACUUAACUUGAUAAGAAUGUCAUGUCAAGGGAGUUUUUCCACUUAAGUCUUAAAAUCCUAAUUGGCACUAAUAAGCUCAACUAAUGGAAAAAACCAAGUGGAUGAAAAUCUAUUAAAUUAAACUAAAUUAGAUUAUAUAUAUCCGAUAAGAUUUAGCACCUAAUAUCACAUCACAUGAUAAUUAUUGUAUAAAUAAAGAUUUUUGUACACAACAAAUUGAAUGCAAAAAAUCAACAUAAAAUAUGAAAUCUAAACCACACACAUUUAAUACACAAAUAAUACACUUUCAAAUAAUACACUUUCAAAUGCAUAAAUAAUACACUUUCAAGUACUUCUUCUUAAUUGAUUGGAAGUCCCUCUAUUGAGCUAGGACAAUAAUAUAAACAUAAUUGAAGAUGAAUGUUACAAUGAUAUUGUUAUAAAAUUAUACACAUUAAAGCUAAUGUUGUAGAAGUUAAAUCAUUAAAACAUGUUAUAAACAUGAAAGAAAAAAUCUUCAAUUCUUGUUAAUAGAUGAAGUAUGGUAUCAAAGAUAUGAAUCUCAAAGAAUUAAAAUGUCAAUAUAUUCUUGUAUCACUCGAAAAGACUAGAGAAUCAUUUAAAGAUGAUAUGAUAUUAAACUAGAAUGGCUAUUGUCAAAGAUAAGAAGACUUAGAAAGUCUUGAGAUAAGACUAAGGACUAGAAAAAUAUUGAUAAGAGUGAAGAAGACUUCACUCUAGCCUCCAUAUAUACUCUUAAUUAGGAGCUAUGUAAUGAUGUCUUAUAAGACCUCCAAAACAUGUUGACUUUAUAAGACACAUAUCUUAACUUGUAAGCCAAGUUUUUGAUAUGUGCACCACAUAAUUAGUUUGUUUUGCAAGCUAUCAAUACGAUGUUAAUUUGUUGACCAAGUUUCUAAACUACCAAUCAAUUAUAAACACAAGUAAACUCAAAGUAGUAUCUAUGAAGUUUCUAAGAAGCAUUUCUAUAAAAUAUUAUAAAAUAAAUUUAUUUUUAUCUACUUCUAUUUAGUCAUAUAGAUAAAUAUUAGAGUAUAUCUAUAUAUAUAUAUAUAUAUAUAUAUAUAUAUAUAUAUAUAUGACAUUACCUUCUCUUUUAAGAAGAAGUUCUACAAAGAGUAGUCAUCAUAUGUUGAGAAAAUCCAAGAUAAGGCAAAUUGUAUUUGCCACAAAUUCUGAUCUUUAUUCUCUUUGAAGAUGGUUGAUAGGUCCACUUAGCUAUCAAUAGUGUUCCAUACCAAGGCAAGAAGACAACCUUAUUAUUUGAUCAUUGUUGAAGCCUUUGUAAUUCCCUUCAAAUAAAAUAUUUGAAACAUUGUCAAGAAUCAUUCAUACUUUUAAUAAAACCACCAAACAUUAAAAUUCUCUUUCAAAGUUGUGAUAUCAAAUACAAUAUAUCUUUCCAUCUAUUUAAGAAAAGACAUGUUGUCCUUGAAGAUCUUCAUCUUGAUUAUGUUGUCUUGAAGAUUGUGACAAAUACAAUGUCUUAUUUAAUAAAUCAGUAAGUAAUAGCUUUUAAAUUAAAUCUAUUAAUAGUUAAUUUUUUUUAUCUCUUUAGCAUUAUAAAUAUACAAAAAUUAUAAAUAAAAGUAGAAAGUAGAAUAUUUUCUUUUUUAGAUCUUAUUUCUUUUAUAGAAAAAAUUUAUCAUUCUUUAUCUUAGUUUUCACGGAUGUCAUCAAUAAAAAAGCCUCAACCUUCUUUGUUGCUUUUGCAAGAUUUUUUGUUGACUCCCAUAUGCAUUCAAUAAUAUCAUAUCUGCACCAAUGAAUAAGUUAUUCUAUUCUAUAUUAGCAUCCCCUUGAAUCUAAGACUUCUUCUACUUCAAACUCUUGAUUAUUAUCCACUUCUAUAGGAUGAAGUAGCAUUUGUCUUUUUUUGAGAUAUUCAUUGUCUUAUAUGGCUUAAAAAGAGACACAUAGAAUAUAGAAUGGAUCUUUAUAGACUCUAGUAGAUGUAUUCAAUAAGCAACAAAAUUGACUUGUUCACAAAUAAGAAAAAUUUUAAGCCUACAAUAGUCCAACUUGUCAUAAGGACAAGAAGGCUUGAUAUUGUGACAAAAAAGAUAUAUCUUGUCAUUUACAAUAAAUUGUGGUUGUUCUUUGCAAUAAACAUCCGAAUUCAUCUUUUUUCAUUCUUGAACUUCUUUAAUUAUACCUUCAUUAUUGCAUAUAGCUUUGAAAAAUAAUUUGUUAAAUCUUUUGUCAUUAGAUUAUCAAUUUUUAAAAAGUCAAAAAUAUCAAGUUAUGGAUGAUAAUUGUAAUUGAUAAAGUGUUUGUUGAAUGAAGAAACAUUAUCGUAUGGCAUGAUUUGCUAUCUAAGAAUACACUAGGUAUCUAGAUGUAGAGAGUUUAGCUUAAACCUUUAUAUGAAUCUUAUGUUAGCCUCCCAAAACUCCUUUAUUUUGCAUAAAACUCAAAAUAUAUCAAAACCUCUUCAAAAUAUAUUUUUCCGGCAAAGGAUUUUCUUGUCUUGAACUUUAGAAAUUCAUAACUCUUCAUCUAGCCGUUCAGUUUGUCUCAAAUUUAUAGAAUAAGUAGAAUUCACCCUUAAAUUUUAUCUCAAAAAAAACCAACUGCAAAUUCACUUCCAAUCUUUUGGCAUCUAAGAAAUCGUAGUAGAUCCUCUAAACCCUAAUUUGCAAGCAUUUGAGCACUAUUUUCUUAAUAUCUUAAGAAUCCAAUACCCAAAUAUCAUCAAACUUAAGCACAAAGUUUACUAACAUAAAAUUACAUAUUUUCUGAAAUUUUGAACCAAAAUCUUGUCAAAUUGCUUAAGAUAUAGCUCAAGACACAACCACUAGUAAAUCGGAUCACUUACUACCCUUAGAUUGUAUGCAUUGACUUCAAAAUCCAAUAACUCCUUCAUUCCAACUUGGAAUCCAGCAAGGAACAUAUCAUUAGUGUAGCCGUAAAAGUGUUCUCUUCAAUAGCAGUCGCCGAUCCUCAAUUUUUAUCUGUACCCGUGCGUUAUGCCAAAAAGAGUGACAGUAGCUUCCAAUUCGAUACCUUAACUUUGAGCCCUUGUAUCUCCUUCAUAUAAACUCCAAACCAUACAAAAUUUGUAACAAAACCAUAGCCAAAAACCUAAACUUGUUUAACUUAGCCUCCAAUUCUCAAAGGACCCCGAAAUACUAACCCUAAUCUCUAAUAUGGCCUCAGGUAGCCUCCUCAAAGCCCAUUGGUCAUGAUUUUUGACCAAUAGGAAUGGAGAUUUUCAUCAUCCAACUCCAUUCAUCUAUAUUGGUGCCCUAAUUACUCCCUUUGCUACCAAAACCAUUCUUCAAUCUUUUUUCUUAUAAGAUUUACAUAAUUUAUACUCUAAACAUCAUAUAAAAGAACCAAAAUAAGUUUCCAAAGGUCACCAAUGUCUAACAAAGGUGACUCUAAAUAUUUAGAAGUUACUAUCAACCAAAAUCAAUCUUAAAAGCCACUAUCAAAAAGGAAAUUAAAGUUAUACAAAUUCUAUAGUAAUCUUUUUAAUCAACCUCUUCUCAAAGUAAUAAUCAAAUUAUAUUUUACAACCAACUAAAAUCUACUAACAUGGCUCUCACUAUGUUAUUUAAUAAAUUAUAUAUUAAGUACAUAAUUACAUUAUUUUCAUAUAGUAGCCAAACCACAAUAUGACAACAUACCAAAUUAUUAUAUGCAAACUUUGCAAAUAGCAAAAGAAUUGUUCAAUCAUCUUGAUGAUAAUUAAUGGUAUACCUCAAAUAUUGCUCAAAAACUUGAUUCAUCUAUUCUGUUUAUCCAUUAAUUUUAGGAUGAAAUGCCAAAGAGAGUUUAUAUCCACCUUUAAAAUCUUAAAUAGGAUUCUCCAAAAUCUAGAUAUAAAUUAAGUCUUUCUAUUGAAUAUAAUAUCCUUGGACUAUCCAUAAUAGCAAUAGAUGUUAUCAAAAAAAAAUUAUUUUUUCACUUUUGAUAGAUUUUGUAAAUAAUACAAAAUGUGCCAUAUUGGUAAAAUAAUCUACUAUUACAAAUAUAAAAUUAUAUGAACUUGAGAUUAAAAGAUCCAUAAUAAAAUCUAUAAAAAUAGAAGAUCAUAAUUAUUUAAAAAUAGAUAAUGGCUAAAAAAGUCUAUAAAAUCGAUAAUGAAGAAUUAUGGAUCUUCAAAAAAUAUUAAAUUAUUAUAUAAAGUCUUUAAUUGCCUUCUGCAUUUGAAGCCACCAAAAAUCUCUAAAUAUUAGCUUCAAAAUCUUUUUGUAUUCAAAAUAUUUGAUUGCUGGAAAGUCAUGACGAGCUUAAAGAAUAUGUAACUGUGCUUUGUCUUUUGAAAUAUAUAAUUGUCCAUCAAAGUAGAAUAAAUUAUUCUUAAACUCAAACUUAGAAGUAUCAUGAGACUUAGAAGAAUUAUUCUUGAUAUCUUGAGCAAGAAGAUCAAAAGACAUUCUUGAGUGAAUUUUCUUGAUAAAGAUUUAAUCAACAAUGAAUGUUGAUUUUAUUACUCAAAGAUGAAAAUGCUACAACUUUAAAUAUAUAUAUAUAUAUAUAUAUAUAUAGAUUGAUCAAAAGUUAUAUUUUAUUUUUUUGAUACAAGAUAAAAAUAUUUAGAAAGAUCAUUUAAUAAACCUUAUUAUUUUUUAGAUCUAUAGUUCAUCUUUAAAUCAAAUCUUAAUAAAGAUAUACUCUAACAAACUAGCAAUGAUUUAAAACACACGUCAAUAUGAAGUAUUUAAAGUUCUUGUGAUCCGUAUACACACUAAUUAGACUAGAGGCGCCUUUUAGAUAAUGAUGCCAUUCUUGGAAUGAAUCCACAAUUACAAUAAGCUCUUUAUUGUCGAUGACAUAGUUAAUUUUGGCUACUAAAAUUUUUCUAGAUUAAAAAUUUACUAGAUGGAGCUUAUCAUCUACUCCUAUUUAUAAUAAAACAACACCUAUAAUAAAACCUAAUACAUUUUUUUUCAUGAAGAAUGCCUUAAAGAAAUCAACGUGAUUUAAAAUUGGUGCAAAAAUAAAUGCUAUCUUCAAGGCUUCAAAAGAUAUUUCAGAUUCUUUGCUCUACUUAAGUUUGUCUUUAUAUGUCACGCAUAGAAGAAAAGCUAUAACUUAAAAAAAGUUCUUAAUGAAGAUUUGAUAAUAUUUGACAAAUUUUAAAAAAUAUUGUAUAUAUUUGACUAUUUUAUGAACCUUUCAAUUUAUGAUAAUCUAAAUCUUUUUAAGAUCUAUUAUUAAUCUUUUGCUAAAAAUAAUAUAUCUUAAGAAAUCAACUUGAAUAGUAUAAAAUACACACUUUUUCAUCUUUGCAUAUAAUCUUGCAUCUAUAAGUUUUUAUAAUAUAUGACAAAUAUAAAGUUCAUGAAUUUUAUAUUAGAGUAGAUUAGAAUAUUGUUUAAAUAAAAGCCAAUAAAAUCAUCAAAAAACUCACAAAAGACAUUAUUCAUGACAUGUUGAAAAACAACUUUAAUGUUUAUAAAUCUAAAAGGCAUAAUAUUAUAUUUAAAAUAUCCAAAUGUAGUUUGGAAAGUAGACCUUUAUUUUUUUAUUUAUUUUUAUAUAAAUUAGUUUAUAUGCUCCUCGUAGAUUUAUUUUUAUGUAGAUCUUUGCUUAAUUGAGUUGGUUAAGAAGUCCUAAAAUCAAUGAUAGGGAAUACUUAUGCUUAAUAGUGAUUUUGUUAAAUCUUUGAUAGUCUUCAAAUAUUUGCAGAGAUCUAUCUUUUUUCUUCACAAAUAAAAUAAAAGCUCUUGCUAGAGAUUUCAAAUGGUGUAUGAAGUUCUUAGCUAAGCUCUUGUCAAUGUAUUCUUUUAAUGUAGCCAACUCAUUUUGCGAUAAGCUGUAGAUUGGUCCAAAUGAUAGUUGAGCUUCUUCUUAUAGAUCAAUUAAACAAUCAUAGGAUUAAUGCUCUAAAAAAAUAUCUAUAUUUGUUUUUUCAAAAAUGUCCUGAAAAUCUUAAUAUUACUUAGAAAUAUCAUCCUUUGUUAUAUAUGCUAUGCCCAUUUUUGUAGAUUCUUAUUGGUAGGUACAAGAAUCUUAUACCUACCAAUAAGAAUUUAGAUGUAUUAAAUUUAUGUAUUUCUAUUUCACUUUCAAGAUUUUGGAUUAAAUUAAAAAAAUACUUAAAGUUAAAAAUAAUCUAAUCUAUUUGAGGAUUAUUUUUUUUAUCCAUGAUAAUCUUAAAAUAAUUAGAUUGAAAAGAGAUCUUAUCAUAUUAAAUAUUACUAUUCUAUUAUAAUCUUUAAUUGCUAUAUCUAAAAGAAUAGUUUUAUGAAUAAUAUCUUCAAAAGAUAACAAACGACCAUCUAUGCUUUCUACAUGUAUGGAUUUAGUAUUUUUGACUAAAAAUAUUUCUUGUUUCUUGAGAAAGUCUUCGUCUAUAAAACAUGUUGAGGUUCUUAAAUCUAAUAAUAUAAAGGCUUUGUAAUUUAUAGGUCCUAAACAUAUAUCUACUAUAAAAAAAAAAGUAAAGGAUUUGAUGAGAGAAUAAGACCUUUAUUAGAUAUUGCAUAUGAUUCCAGCUGAACGGUUCCUAUUGUAGUUGGAAAAAUUUACUUUUUGACACAUUAUCUUAUUUGACAAUUGUACUCCUCAUUUUGUGAUUGCAUUGCUUUUUUGGAUAAUGUUGAAUAGUGUACUUAGCUUUUCCACAAUAUAAGUACAAAUCCUUUUGAUAAUGUCACGUCUUUUCUUACUUAGUAAAGAAUUUAAAACGUAUUGUAUCAAUAUGCACUAGUUUUGGCUUUGAUAAAUGAGUUUCUAAAAACUUCGAAGUUGUCGUCAUUAUUUGGCUUAUUUUUCUUUAGCCAAGUCUUUAUUGUUAAUGCCUUUCAAAUAAUCGAUUGUUGCAUGCAAUGGCUUACGCAAUAAAUUAUUCUAAAGAUUUUGCUUUCAAUAUUAUCAAUAAUAAAUCAUUCACAUUAUCCUUCAACCUAUAUUGAAAUUGAUUGAUAAUGGUUUUGUCAUUCUAAUCCACGUCGAAAGCAAGGUUUUGAAAUUCAACAGCAUAUAUGGUAGUUGAUUGUGAUUCUUAUCAUAAAGAUAAGAGUUUGGUCUCUACUACUCUUUUUUGAUCACUAUCUCCAAAUAAAAUUGUAAAUACUUUUAAAAAUGAAUUCAAAUCAUAAAAGAAUCAUGAAUCUUCUUCCAUUAAUGGUGCAAAGUGAGAGAGAGCACUUCUAGAUAGAAGUGUGCCUAUGAAGUGAACUUGAGUAAAUCCAUCAAGAUAUUGGAAGAGAUACAACCUUCGAUAGAGCUUGACUUAUUGUAAAAAUUGUCAAAAUUUUGAUCUUAUUCUAGCAAACUUAUUGAGCAUACUAAUCCAUGUCUCUAUUAUACUUGUAGAAGCAAAAUUUCCUAGAUUUGGUUGUGAGGUCGAUCUACUUGCUUCCUUUAACUGUACAACUUCUUGCCAUAAAUUUUGAACUUCUUCCAUAGGCUUAGGAUUGGUAUUUCUGUGGUUGGCACUAAUGAUAUGUGAAAUUUCUAUUCUGAGAGUAUUGACAAGUUUGUGAAGAUCUUCACAAACUUAACAACACUUUUAGAGUGCAAAUAUAAGCUAAACUAAAAAUAUAUUUAAUAUACAUUGUGAACUAGUAUUAACAUUGAUUGCUCAUUAAUAAUACUACAAAGUAGUUUUAUAACUCUUAAUUAUAAUUGCAAUGUAAACAAAAGCAAUAUAAAUUUGCAUACUUUAUUUGUUGUAAUAAAUGUUAUUAAACUUAAGAAAUAUACAUCACAUAAAUGUUGUAGGCAUGUCUAAAGAUUGGCAAUAAUUAUAAAACACAAUAUAUAUAUAUAUAUAUAUAUAUAUAUAUAUGAUUUUUAGGUAAAUUGAGAUAAUUAUAAUAUACCAUACUACAUUCAAAAUUGUUAAUAUAAUAAUUGCUACAAAAAUAUUUCUAACCUAUUUACAUAUUGCAACACAUAUAUAAAAUAUAUCUUUCUAUUUAUAUAAUUAAAUUAUAUUUUCAGAACAAUUAAUUUUACAAUAUUAUCCAAAUGCAAAGCAUGAAUUUCGAACUCCACCAAAAUUACUACUCUUUAUAAAUCAAUAAUUUGUUUGUUAUAUAAUUAAAACUAAUAAAUGAUAGCAUUUUAUCUUAAAUAAUAUUAUGUUUACAAAUAAUGUUGUAAAAGUCUUAAUGGUGCAAAAACAAACCAAAAUAUAAAAAUAAAAAAUCCAACUACAAGAAAAAAAAAUUGUGCAAUACAUUGAUUAGAAGAACAAAUAAUUGUGACUGCAUCCAUUAUACUCUACCACAGUGAUGAAAUAACUCCCAUAUCCAUUACAUUUUGCCAAGUAAAUGCACAUCUUCUGCAAGUUAGAAUUCACAUUCCCACCUCAAUCAUCUCCAACUACACCCAGUGAUGACCUUCCUAUUCACUAUCAAAAUUUAUACCCAUCAGUUAAUCUUUGAUAAUUCAUCACCCUGCUCAAUUGCUCGAUAACUUUCAUGCUUUUCAAUACUAAGAAACAUGCUCAUCAAGUCAAAGUAGCAAGAUUCACCAUAGAAGUUAAUUUCGAGAGGUCCAUGAUAUAUCCGAUCCAUGUGUACUCCAAUGUGCGUGUGGAAUGGAAUUGAAUGAGCAAAUGCUAAAAUUCACCUGAUUAAAUGAAAAGAAGAAAAAAUCUACUCUGUUCAUUGAUGGUGUGAUACCAAUCUUAUGACGGAAUAAUUUCCACAGAUUCAAUAUAGACGUAAGAAAUCGGAUGACAGUUCUAAUACCAUGAGUUGGUCAUUGACAUCUUGAUACGACAUGCGCAAGACCAUUAACAACGUAGGGCAUUGGUGGGCAGAGUCCGAUCCAAAUAUAUUAAGUUUACAAACUCAUAAGUACGGAGGGUUGUACAUCUUAGGUUCCGAAGCUACUGUAAGCUGUGGAGCAGAAAGAGCGGAUGUCUAUCCUUAAACCCAUUUCGAUUCCUCAAUACUGCAACAAGAAUUGUAGGAGCUCAAAUAUACAUAUCAAUGAGUUCGAUGCAUACAAAUAUCAGAAAAACCGAGAGGCAGCGACGAAAGGUGCAACAAGAGGAGUGAGAAACUACAGAUGGGUACCAUCACUAAGCCCUCACACCGAAACCAAGAUACCAAAGUCGAUUGAACACACAACUACAGUUAAGUGGAGCCCGAAAAUCAAGCAAUCAGUUCAUCGCUGCUUAAAAACUGGUUAGAAUGUUAGAACGAAGCUCCUACGAGACAAAAUACCCUACUAGACCAGAUAAGCAUGAAAAUUCACAUCCAAUCACAAUUCGACAGAAACCCUUCCUGAGUGCCAAUAUGACAUUGGGAUAUAGGACGUUCAUCGAGUACCACACAUACAGGUAGAAGACACCUAAGCGAAUUGGUUGACAUCAAAUAUCGGAGGAAAUAAUAGCAAAUUCAGCAGAGGGUGAAGUGAAAAUAGGUUAAAGAACCGCUUGACAUGUAUCCUCUAGAGGGUCAAUUGGAAAUGGUGCCCAAAUGAAUCCCAAAAGAAAUCCUGCUUCCAUUGCUACAACUCGUGUACCAGUACAAAAUUAACAAGUACAGCGAUGAAUCACAACAUGCACAACAUGGUACCAUGCUUAACGUUUGCCACCGGCACUGGUCUUCGCAGCCUUGGGCUGAGCUGCCCGUGUCGCCUGCUUCCCGACCCCCUUCGUCGUCUUCACCAUCUCGGCCUUCUUCGCCUUCUUCUCAUCCUUCGUCUUCUUGAUCCUCUCCUUGAUCUCUCGCAACGCCGCCUCCCGAGCUGCGGCGCGGACCUCGGUCUUCUCGGUCCUCUUCUUCUGGAUCACCUCCAACGACGCGCCCACGAUGGACCUGGAGUAGGGUUUGUUGGUGGUUCUACGCUUCUUCUUUACGGCGGUGUCGUGCAAAUCUUUCUUGUGUUGCUUCCGGAACAAAGCCGUCCACGAAAGCUUCGCGGGCUUCAGCCGGUUGUGGAAGUACCGCUU
rnacentral:lncRNA from 1 species